UGUUGUUUUUCUGAAAAUCAAUUUAAGAACUGUUCAUUUUUAGUUGUUAAGACCUUAUCGGCUUACUGCUAUUUUUUGGAUUUCUCUUGAAUGCACUUUUCAGUCAACAAGUCAACAUCAAUUUCUUUUGUUGUAAAACGGUAAAAGGAAGGUGGCUUUAUCUUCGGAUGAAGUGUUUAUAGCCUUUUACUUCUGCAAUCGGAGAGAUUGAGGUCUGCAGCGUAGAUCCUUCGGGGUUAGAUACUUCUAUGCUAAGCUAUAGUCCUAUAUAGACAACUUGUUGACUAUGUUCGAUCCUGUAACUUACUCGUAGAUACUAUUUUACCUAC
rnacentral:rRNA from 1 species